UACGGAGGGUGCGAGCGUUGUCCGGAAUCACUGGGCGUAAAGGGCGCGUAGGUGGCGCGGGUAGUCGUCGGUGAAAGCUCAGGGCUCAACCCUGAGUCGGCCGGUGAUACUCCCGUGCUCGAGUGUGGUAGAGGCCAAUGGAAUUCCGGGUGUAGCGGUGGAAUGCGUAGAGAUCCGGAAGAACACCGGUGGCGAAGGCGACAUACUGGCCCAAUACUGACGCUGAGGCUCGAAAGCGUGGGGAGCAAACAGG
rnacentral:rRNA from 1 species